UUAUCACUGUGAAUACCCCCCCUCAAAAGUUUUUCUGGAAGUUAGGUAUCAACAUGCGUAAAAGAUAACAGUUUGCUUUUAUAUUUAGGGUCCAGAAACAACUGCAUUUUUUGAGAAAAUAAAAAAGGCCUUGACUUACCUCAUCUCUGUAUUUCAACCAAAAUCACAGUGAGAUGACUUUUGGAAGACGGCAGACCUCGUUGAUGUUGACUUCCUGCCCGUAUGCUUUGUGCACCACCACCUCAACCUAAUGAAAUGAAAAGAAAUGCAAAUCAUAGUAGUAAAGUCUAGGAAAAAAGUUAAUUAUACUUAUCGAUUUUGUAACAAAGGGCUGAGGACAAUAAAAACAGUUCCAUGCUUGCCCCGGAGGAUGGCCUAAGCUUUGCAAAAAAAUAUAAAGAAAACUUCAACU